UAGAGUUUGAUCCUGGCUCAGGAUGAACGCUAGCUACAGGCUUAACACAUGCAAGUCGAGGGGAAUCAGGAAGUAAGCGCGCUUUCUUUACGUCCGCCGGCCCCCCGGUGGAGUAACACGUUUCCACCUUGCCAUUUACUCGGGGAUACCCUCUGGAAGGCAAGAUUAUUACCCGAUAUCUCAGAGAUUCCCCUCAGUUUCAUUAUUAAGAGAUUUCGGUAAAGGAUGGGGAUGCGUUCCAUUAGGUUGUUGGCGAGGUAACGGCCCACCAAGCCUUCGAUCGAUAGGGGUUCUGAGAGGAAGGUCCCCCACAUUGGAACUGAGACACGGUCCAAACUCCUACGGGAGGCAGCAGUGAGGAAUAUUGGUCAAUGGGCGGUAGUCUGAACCAGCCAAGUAGCGUGCAGGAUGACGGCCCUAUGGGUUGUAAACUGCUUUUGUAUGGGGAUAAAGUCAAUCACGUGCGAUUGUUUGCAGGUACCAUACGAAUAAGGACCGGCUAAUUCCGUGCCAGCAGCCGCGGUAAUACGGAAGGUUCGGGCGUUAUCCGGAUUUAUUGGGUUUAAAGGGAGCGUAGGCCGGAGAUUAAGUGUGUUGUGAAAUGUAGACGCUCAACGUCUGACUUGCAGCGCAUACUGGUUUCCUUGAGUACGCACAACGUUGGCGGAAUUCGUCGUGUAGCGGUGAAAUGCUUAGAUAUGACGAAGAACUCCGAUUGCGAAGGCAGCUGACGGGAGCGCAACUGACGCUUAAGCUCGAAGGUGCGGGUAUCAAACAGGAUUAGAUACCCUGGUAGUCCGCACAG
rnacentral:rRNA from 1 species